rnacentral:rRNA from 1 species
UGGGGAAUUUUGGACAAUGGGCGAAAGCCUGAUCCAGCAAUGCCGCGUGUGUGAAGAAGGCCUUCGGGUUGUAAAGCACUUUUGUCCGGAAAGAAAUCCUUGGCUCUAAUACAGUCGGGGGAUGACGGUACCGGAAGAAUAAGCACCGGCUAACUACGUGCCAGCAGCCGCGGUAAUACGUAGGGUGCAAGCGUUAAUCGGAAUUACUGGGCGUAAAGCGUGCGCAGGCGGUUUGCUAAGACCGAUGUGAAAUCCCCGGGCUCAACCUGGGAACUGCAUUGGUGACUGGCAGGCUAGAGUAUGGCAGAGGGGGGUAGAAUUCCACGUGUAGCAGUGAAAUGCGUAGAGAUGUGGAGGAAUACCGAUGGCGAAGGCAGCCCCCUGGGCCAAUACUGACGCUCAUGCACGAAAGCGUGGGGAGCAAACAGGAUUAGAUACCCUGGUAGUCCACGCCCUAAACGAUGUCAACUAGUUGUUGGGGAUCAUUUCCUUAGUAACGUAGCUAACGCGUGAAGUUGACCGCCUGGGGAGUACGGUCGCAAGAUUAAAACUUAAAUGAAUUGACGGGGUCAUAGCUGUUUCCU